GACGUAGGGGACGAGCGUUGUCCGGAUUCAUUGGGCGUAAAGCGCGCGUAGGCGGCCACGCAAGUCGGGUGUGAAAUCCCGGAGCUCAACUCCGGAACUGCACUCGAAACUGCGCGGCUUGAGGUAGGUAGGGGAGAUCGGAAUUCCUGGUGUAGCGGUGGAAUGCGCAGAUAUCAGGAGGAACACCGAUGGCGAAGGCAGCUCGCUGGGACGGUACUGACGCUAAGGCGCGAAAGCGUGGGGAGCAAACAGG
rnacentral:rRNA from 1 species